ensembl:lncRNA uncharacterized LOC111945624
AUGGCCUUUCCUCUGCGCCUCUUCCUCCUGCUCCUCCUGGCAGUGGCCCUGCCUGACAGGGCUGCCCAGGCUUCUCCACAGCGAGCACAGGGAGCAGAUUGGAAUCAUCACAUGGAUUACCUGGAAGUAAUGAAUGAUGGCUUGAAAUUCUUGGAGGAUGUUGGAGCCAAGCCUCUCGGUGAAGGUGAUGCAGCUUCCCAACCCACACCCAGGACUGAGGCUCUGGGAGAUGGUGAGGUUACAGGUGUGUCUGCAGGGAGGACUUUGCCAGCUCCUGGGAUGGUUACUGCACACAAGCCCAGCUCCCAUCACAGGGGUCUUCCAAGAGAGAAAACCCAAAAUACAGCAGAAGAGAAAUCCCUGAAACAAUCUGAAAUUAUACGGCAAAUGCUGAAGGAAAUGCUGCAGGGAGGGCAAGGAAUGAAACGAGAGCCUGUGCAGCAGGAAACAUUCCCUGAAGGAAUCAUUGAUUCUGUGCCUAACUCUGCUGCAGGAAGGGAGGCCAUGCCAGGCACAGUAACACAAGAUAAGUCUCGGGGCAAAGCUUCUCCAAUAGCUUGGCUGCAUAAAGUUGUGAAGCCCUCUGCGCCUCCUGCAGUUACAGGUAUGUCUGCAAGGAGGAUUGUCCCAGCUACAGGGUUGGUUACUGCACCCACGACUGGCUCCCAUCACAGUGGUCCUCCAAGAGAGAAAACCCAAAAUACAGCAGAAGAUAAAGCCCUGAAACGUUCUGAACUUAUAUGGCAAAUGCUGAAGGAAAUGCUGCAGGGAGGGCAAGAAAUGAAACGAGAGCCUGUGCAGCAGGAAACAAUUACUGAAGGAAUCAUUGAUUCUGUGCCAGCCUCUGCUGCAGGAAGGGAGGCCAUGCCAGGCACAGUAACAAAAGAUGAGGUUCCUGGCAAAGCUUCUCCAUUAGCUUGGCUGCAUAAAGUUUUGAAGUCCUCUGCGCCUCCUGCAGGUGUGUCUGCAGAGAGGACUUUCCCAGCUCCUUUGCUGAUUAGUGUGCAGAAGCCCCACUUCCAUCGCAGGGGUCCUCCGAGUGACAAGGACAAACGUAUAGAAGAGAAGGAAUUCCCGGAGUCAAACAACAUCCAGAAACAAAUUGUGGAGGAACUGCAGAAAGGGCCUGACAUGCACCUAGAGGUUCUGUGGAAGGCAGCAUUUCCUGCAGGCAGCGGUCACUCGUCGGCAGCCUCUGCUGCAGGAAGGAAUGGGAUGGCACACAUGAGUACAGGCCCAGACACAGGAGAUUCGGAUGCUGGGAAGGCUCCUCCCUUUGCUUUGAGAUAUGAAGAUUUGAAGCCCUCUGGGACACCUGCAGUUACAGGUGUGUCUGCAGAGAGGAUUUCUCCAGCUCCUGGGCUGGAUGCUGCACACAAGCCUGACUCCCAUCCCAGCGUUCCUCCAACAGAAAAGACCAAAUACACCUCAGAGAAGAAAUCCCUGGAGUCAUUUGAAGUCAUGUGGCAAAUGCUGAAGAAAAUGCUGCAGGGAGCACAAGAAGUGCAUGAAGAGGCUGUGCUGAAGGCGGUGUUUCCCGGAGUAAGCAGUGGCUCACUGGCAGCCUCUGCUGCAGGAAGGGAGGCCAUGCCAGGCACAGUCCUAGGAGAUUGGGAUCGUGAUAUGGAUUAUGUGGAAGCCCUGGUGGAAAAUGGCUUGAAAUUCAUGGAGGAUGUUGGAGCCAAGCCUCUAGAUGAAGGUGAUGCAGCUUCCCAACCCACACCUAGGACUGAGGCUCUGGGAGAUGAUGAGGUUACAGGUGUGUCUGCAGGGAGGACUUUGCCAGCUCCUGGGAUGGUUACUGCACACAAGCCCAUCUCACAUCGCAGGGUGGUGGACCAAAAGGCUGAGCUCCAGGAGGCAUUUCCCGGAGGAAGCAGUGGUUCAUUGGCAGCUUCUGCUGCAGAAAAGAAGGCGAUGCCAGGCACAGGCCCAGAUACAGGAGAUACAACCAGCACAACACAAGUUCCUGAUUCAAAGAAGGACAUUGAAAGGGCUUUCUGUCAGGGAAUGUUCUGCUGGAUAGAGCUAAUAGCAGGCGUGCUAUGUUUGGAGCUUAUCAUCAUGUUGUGCUGCUUUGGAAUCUGGUAUGCCUGUAAGAGAAAACGGAGGACUGCUGAACAGCAUUUGAAGUACAGUGGGUGCACUAAACACCCAGACAGCUCGAGCAGCACCUCUGGGAGUAAUAAGGGCCUGGGCAGCCCUCUGAAGAACUCUGAGAGGAGGAUCCCGGAACACUAUCUCUGAGGAAACCUCUUAUAACCCUGUAGAUCCCACUGCCCUCUCUUUUUCCCAUGGAUAUCCCCAAGGUCCCUUCACUUCCUUUUUUGGUCUUCCUCUGCCCCAACCUAACCCAUCCUUAGUUCUUGUAGAGACCCCAGGACCAGCCCAGCAACCUCCGGCCCCAGCUGGGACCAACAUGGUCCUUCCUCUGUCCCUGAGCCCCCUGGCCCUGCCCUUAAACAGCACUGAGCUGAGUGAGCCCAUCUGCCAGUGUAGGUGAUGGCCCCUUCUUCUCUUCAAAUAAAUAAAUGUAGCUG